GAAGCAUUCGUGGGUNCCGAUGAUAGC
rnacentral:piRNA from 1 species